rnacentral:SRP_RNA from 1 species
UCCAGGUGUGGUGACUGCACUGUAAUUCUUGCUACUAUGGAGGCUGAGACUGGUAGACUGCUUGAGCUUGAGAAUUUUCUGUUACAGUAGGACUAGAGCUGAUCUGGUGUCUACACUAAGUCUAGCUCUAAUAUGAUGAAACCUCUGGAGUGAUGUACCACCAGGCUGGCUAAGGGGCUAACCAGCCCAGGUUGCAAACAGAACAGGUCAAGCUCCUUUGCUGAUCAGCAGUGGAACUGGGCACUGAGGGGCCACUGCAUUUUCAGACUGGGCAAGAUAGGGAGAACCAGUUUGC